rnacentral:rRNA from 1 species
GACGAACGCUGGCGGCGUGCCUAACACAUGCAAGUCGAACGGAGAUGUUAAGGAAGUUUUACUGAAUUAAUGUCUUAGUGGCGGACGGGUGAGUAACGCGUGGGCAACCUACCCAUAAGCGGGGGAUAACAGUUGGAAACGACUGCUAAUACCGCAUAAGCUAUUAAGGUCGCAUGACCUAAAUAGUAAAGGUGGCAUUUUAACAAUGCUAUCACUUAUGGAUGGGCCCGCGUCUGAUUAGCUAGUUGGUGGGGUAGUGGCCUACCAAGGCAACGAUCAGUAGCCGGCCCUGAGAGGGUGGACGGGCCACACUGGGACUGAGACACGGCCCAGACUCCUACGGGAGGCAGCAGUGGGGAAUAUUGCGCAAUGGGGGAAACCCUGACGCAGCGACGCCGCGUGAGCGAAGAAGGCCUUAGGGUCGUAAAGCUCUGUUGUAAGGGCGAAUGUUUGUCUGGCGAACAGUCAGAUAAAGUGACGGUACCUUACCAGCAAGCCCCGGCUAACUACGUGCC